GGGACGGGGUUGAAAGCUCCGGCGGUGAAGGAUGAGCCCGCGGCCUAUCAGCUUGUUGGUGGGGUAAUGGCCUACCAAGGCGACGACGGGUAGCCGGCCUGAGAGGGCGACCGGCCACACUGGGACUGAGACACGGCCCAGACUCCUACGGGAGGCAGCAGUGGGGAAUAUUGCACAAUGGGCGAAAGCCUGAUGCAGCGACGCCGCGUGAGGGAUGACGGCCUUCGGGUUGUAAACCUCUUUCAGCAGGGAAGAAGCGAAAGUGACGGUACCUGCAGAAGAAGCGCCGGCUAACUACGUGCCAGCAGCCGCGGUAAUACGUAGGGCGCAAGCGUUGUCCGGAAUUAUUGGGCGUAAAGAGCUCGUAGGCGGCUUGUCACGUCGGAUGUGAAAGCCCGGGGCUUAACCCCGGGUCUGCAUUCGAUACGGGCUAGCUAGAGUUUGGUAGGGGAGAUCGGAAUUCCUGGUGUAGCGGUGAAAUGCCCAGAUAUCAGGAGGAACACCGGUGGCGAAGGCGGAUCUCUGGGCCAUUACUGAC
rnacentral:rRNA from 1 species